AGAGAGAGACAUGCGCGCAUAUCAAUAAGCGGAGGAAAAGAAACUAACAAGGAUUCCCCUAGUAACGGCGAGUGAAGCGGGAAGAGCUCAAAUUUGAAAUCUUAAAGGGUUUCCCUUUACGAAUUGUAGUUUAAAGAAGUGUUUUCUGUUGAGGGUUUUGGUAAAAGUUCUUUGGAAUAGGACAUCAUAGAGGGUGAGAAUCCCGUAUUUGACCUUUACUUUCAACUUUGUGAUACACUUUCAAAGAGUCGGAUUGUUUGGGAAUGCAGUCCAAAAUGGGUGGUAAAUUUCAUCUAAAGCUAAAUAUUGGCGAGAGACCGAUAGCGAACAAGUACCGUGAGGGAAAGAUGAAAAGAACUUUGAAAAGAGAGUUAAACAGUACGUGAAAUUGUCAAAAGGGAAGCGUUUGACACCAGUGUUGUUUUUCUGAAAAUCAAUUAAAGAACUGUUUAUGCUAAGCUGUUUAGACUUUAUCAGCUAACUGUUUAGUUUUGAGCUUUUCUUUAAUGCACUUUUCAGUUAACAAGUCAACAUCAAUUUCUUUUGCUGUAAAAAAGCUUGAGGAAGGUGGCUUGAGAUUCGUCUUAAGUGUUUAUAGCCUCUUGCCUAUGCAGUCGGAGAGAUUGAGGUCUGCAGCGUAGAUCCUUCGGGGCUAAAUGCAUUUGUGCUAAGUUAUAGCAUUUUAUAGACAACUUGUUGACUAUGAUUUGUCUUGUAGCUUACUCGCUUAUGUUAUUUUACCUACGCUUAGGAUGUUGACGCAUGAGAUAUACGC
rnacentral:rRNA from 1 species